rnacentral:rRNA from 1 species
GGGUUGUGAGGUUAAGCGACUAAGCGUACACGGUGGAUGCCCUGGCAGUCAGAGGCGAUGAAGGACGUGCUAAUCUGCGAUAAGCGCCGGUAAGGUGAUAUGAACCGUUAUAACCGGCGAUUUCCGAAUGGGGAAACCCAGUGUGAUUCGUCACACUAUCAUUAACUGAAUCCAUAGGUUAAUGAGGCGAACCGGGGGAACUGAAACAUCUAAGUACCCCGAGGAAAAGAAAUCAACCGAGAUUCCCCCAGUAGCGGCGAGCGAACGGGGAGGAGCCCAGAGCCUGAAUCAGCAUGUGUGUUAGUGGAAGCGUCUGGAAAGGCGCGCGAUACAGGGUGACAGCCCCGUACACAAAAGCGCAUGUGCUGUGAGCUCGAUGAGUAGGGCGGGACACGUGGUAUCCUGUCUGAAUAUGGGGGGACCAUCCUCCAAGGCUAAAUACUCCUGACUGACCGAUAGUGAACCAGUACCGUGAGGGAAAGGCGAAAAGAACCCCGGCGAGGGGAGUGAAAAAGAACCUGAAACCGUGUACGUACAAGCAGUGGGAGCACCCUUCGGGGUGUGACUGCGUACCUUUUGUAUAAUGGGUCAGCGACUUAUAUUCUGUAGCAAGGUUAACCGUAUAGGGGAGCCGGAGGGAAACCGAGUCUUAAUUGGGCGUUAAGUUGCAGGGUAUAGACCCGAAACCCGGUGAUCUAGCCAUGGGCAGGUUGAAGGUUGGGUAACACUAACUGGAGGACCGAACCGACUAAUGUUGAAAAAUUAGCGGAUGACCUGUGGCUGGGGGUGAAAGGCCAAUCAAACCGGGAGAUAGCUGGUUCUCCCCGAAAGCUAUUUAGGUAGCGCCUCGUGAAUUCAUCUCCGGGGGUAGAGCACUGUUUCGGCUAGGGGGCCAUCCCGGCUUACCAACCCGAUGCAAACUGCGAAUACCGGAGAAUGUUAUCACGGGAGACACACGGCGGGUGCUAACGUCCGUCGUGAAGAGGGAAACAACCCAGACCGCCAGCUAAGGUCCCAAAGUCAUGGUUAAGUGGGAAACGAUGUGGGAAGGCCCAGACAGCCAGGAUGUUGGCUUAGAAGCAGCCAUCAUUUAAAGAAAGCGUAAUAGCUCACUGGUCGAGUCGGCCUGCGCGGAAGAUGUAACGGGGCUAAACCAUGCACCGAAGCUGCGGCAGCGAACGUAUCACCCAAGACAACUUUACGGAGUUGACGAUUGACGGAGCGAAGCGACGUCAAAGCGUUCAUUAAAGUCGAGUUGGCUUAGGGAUACGUUCGUUGGGUAGGGGAGCGUUCUGUAAGCCUGUGAAGGUGUGUCGUGAGGCAUGCUGGAGGUAUCAGAAGUGCGAAUGCUGACAUAAGUAACGAUAAAGCGGGUGAAAAGCCCGCUCGCCGGAAGACCAAGGGUUCCUGUCCAACGUUAAU